AGUGAACGCUGGCGGCAUGCCUAACACAUGCAAGUCGAACGGCAGCGCGGGCUUCGGCCUGGCGGCGAGUGGCGGACGGGUGAGGAAUGCAUCGGAAUCUGCCCAGUCGUGGGGGAUAACGUAGGGAAACUUACGCUAAUACCGCAUACGACCGAGAGGUGAAAGCGGGGGACUUUCGGGCCUCGCGCGAUUGGAUGAGCCGAUGCCGGAUUAGCUAGUUGGCGGGGUAAAGGCCCACCAAGGCGACGAUCCGUAGCUGGUCUGAGAGGAUGAUCAGCCACACUGGGACUGAGACACGGCCCAGACUCCUACGGGAGGCAGCAGUGGGGAAUAUUGGACAAUGGGCGCAAGCCUGAUCCAGCAAUGCCGCGUGGGUGAAGAAGGCCUCGGGUUGUAAAGCCCUUUUGUACGGAAGAAAGACGCUGGGUUAAUACCCUGGCGGGAUGACGGUACCGUAAGAAUAAGCACCGGCUAACUUCGUGCCAGCAGCCGCGGUAAUACGAAGGGUGCAAGCGUUACUCGGAAUUACUGGGCGUAAAGCGUGCGUAGGCGGUUUGUUAAGUCCGUUGUGAAGCCUGGGCUCAACCUGGGAACUGCAGUGGAUACUGGCAGGCUAGAGUGCGGUAGAGGAUGGUGGAAUUCCCGGUGUAGCGGUGAAAUGCGUAGAGAUCGGGAGGAACAUCGAUGGCGAAGGCAGCCAUCUGGACCAGCACUGACGCUGAGGCACGAAAAGCGUGGGGGAGCAAACAGGAUUAGAUACCCUGG
rnacentral:rRNA from 1 species